ensembl:lncRNA RTCA-AS1 RTCA antisense RNA 1
AGUUCCGCAGUCAGUGCGCAUGCGCGUAGCUCGGCUUAAAGGAGCCGCGCUGGGAACACUGCGGUCGGGGCGAGGAAGCUGCCGGGGAAGUGAGAUGACGGUCGCGGGGGUGCCCAGGAGCCCUGAAAAACUUGUGCCCUGGGCACGGCAAAAUCUGCAGGUUGCAGAAAGUCUCAACUGAUCCUGGCAUACCCCGAGGUGCCGACUUUUAGAGCUGAAGAUGCAAGAAAGAUUGGGAUCCUGCGAUGCACCGAACCUGUCUCUCGAAGUGUGUGCGCCCUGCUUCCUGUGUUAAACAAUUUGCUACAAGGUCACACAAUUUUAACUAGAAGACUGAGAUGUGAACCUGGGUGGUCUGAUGUGAACACCACUGUCUGGUAAUCCCAACGCUCUGCUGCUUUGCGACAGAGAAUGUUUUAGGGAACACACAGACUAUGUACUUAACCAAAUCUGGAAUUUGCCGUAAGAUAUUAAUCAGAGAAGUAAUGAUACUUGCAUUUUAAAAUGAAGGCUUUGGCAGUAGGAGAAGGGUGAAUAAGAGGCUUAAGAGCCUGAAGGGAGAAAUGCCAAUGAUACAAUUAUCCAGCAAGAAAUAAUCAGAAGUUGAAGUAAGGCAAUGAUGGUAGGGAUGGAAUAUAAAAAAGCUGUACCCCUAUCUGACAUCUUUAUUGGGGGAACCCGCCCCCAAUAUUUCAACGUAGGUUCUUUCUAUUUUCCAUAAGUGUUGGCCAGCUGAGAAAUAAAGAGAGACAGUAUAAAGAGAGGAAUUUUACAGCUGAGCCACCGGGGGUGACAUCACAUAUCGGUAGGACCAUGAUGCCCGCCUGAGUCUCAGACCAGCAAGUUUUUAUUAAGGGUUUCAAAAGGGGAGGGGGUGUAAGAACAGGGAGUAGGUACAAAAGUACAAAGAUCACAUGCUUCAAAAGGCAAAAAGACCUUACUACUAGUAAGGGUCUAACAAAGAUCACAUGCUUCUGAGGGAACAGGACAAAGGGCAAAAGCAGAACUACUUAUAAGAGUCCAACAAAGAUCACAAGGCAAAGGGCAAAAGCAGAGCUACUGAUAAGGGUCUAUGUUCAGCAGUGCACAUAUUGUCUUAAUAAACAUCUUAAAUAACAGAAAACAGGGUUCAAGAGCAGAGAACUGGUGUGACCACAAAUUUACCAGGGCGGAGUUUUUCCCCACCCUAGUAAGCCUGAGGGUACUGCAGGAGACCAGGGCGUAUCUCAGUCCUUAUCUCAACCGCGUAAGACAGACAUUCCCAGAGCGGCUGUUUAUAGACCUCCCCACAGGAAUGCAUUCCUUUCCCAGGGUAUUAAUAUUUAUAUUCCUUGCUAGUAAAAGAAUUUAGCAAUAUCUCUCCUACUUGCACAUCCAUUUAUAGGCUCUCUGCAAGAAGAAAAAUAUGGCUGUUUUUGCCCAACCCCACAGGCAGUCAGACCUUAUGGUUGUCUUCCUUUGUUCCCUAAAAAUUGCUGUUAUUCUGUUCUUAUUCAAGGUGCACUGAUUUCAUAUUGUUCAAACACAGAUGUUUUACAAUCAACUUGUACAGUUAACACAAUUAUCACAGUGGUCCUGAGGUGAUGUACAUCCUCAGCUUACGAAGAUAACAGGAUUAAGAGAUUAAAGUAAAGACAGGCAUAAGAAAUUAUAAAAGUAUUAUUUGGGAACUGAUAAAUGUCCAUGAAAUCUUCACAAUUUAUGUUCCUCUGCCGUGGCUCCAGCCGGUCCCUCCGUUCGGGGUCCCUGACUUCCCGCAACACAUCUUAGAUUCUUAUUACAGAAACUUAACAUUCCCAGAAGAAGCCUCGCCUUUUUAUUUCUAAUUUUGGCUAUGAAUUCCUAGCUAUGACCCAUUUGCCCCAUUCUAACUAUUUCCAGUGGUAGGGGGAAAAGAACAAGACAGUAAUAUAAUGUAGAGAUGAGCUAAUUGUGGUAAUAAUAAGCACUUGUGUAGUGCUUUCAUAUACAUGAUCUCUCUUAAUGUUCAUAACAAAGCUGUGAGGUUGGUGCUCUUAUCUCUCUUUGGUUAAUGAAGGACUGAGGCCUAGGGAAUUGGAAGUGACCUGCCAAGAUGACAGAACAAUAAAGUGGCAGAGUUGGGUUAAAUCCUUGGUUAUUUUAAUGACAAAUGACAGACCAAUAAUUGAUUCCUCAAUAAAACAGUGGAAGUCAGAAAGAGUAGAAUUGUACAUUCAGAAUGCUGGCAGAAAAUAACCAUCAACCUAGAAUUGGGCACUCAGCAAAAUUAUCUUUCAAGAAUUAAAGUAUAGAAAUAAAAUAAUUUCCAGGUACAUGGAAACUGAAUUUAACAUCUACCUACACUUUUUAAAGGAAGUUCUAAAAGAUGUACUUCAGAAAGAAAAAUUACUUCAGAAGGAGAGUCUGAGAUAGAAGUGAUGGGCAAAGAAAUUGUAAACACAUAGUUGAAUCUGAGCAAACAUUACAUGAAAUAACACCAGACAACAAAAGUAUGUAAGACGAGAGGUGGAUGACAAAGUUAAAGAAUUCUAAGGUCUCUCUUUGUAGUUAAGAUAUCAAUUAAUAGAGUUGACAUAAUUCAAGUCUUUAAGUACGCAAGGUAAAGUUUCAAGGAUAACCAUGAAAGUGUAUAACUUCUAAUCCAGCCAAAGGAAAAAAUGGACUAACAGGAAAACACAGAUUAAAUGAACAAAAACCUAAUAUCAUAAUGAGCAUUAAAAAAAAAGAGGAUGAAAAGAAAGCACUAAAGUAACAAAAUAGAAAUAAAUUCAUAUAUAUCAAUAGUAACAAUGAAAGUAAAUAAACUUUCUGAUGAAAAGCCAGAGAUUGUUGGAUGACACAUACCCACAAGUUUAAAAAAUAAAAAAGCCAGAGAUUGGUUGAAAAAAAAAAGUGCCAUUUACAAGAGAUGCACCAAAAACAUUAAGGAUCGUGAGGAGUUGAAAAUAAAAAGAUGGAAAAGAGAUGCCGUAUAAAUGCCAACAAAAAGAAAGGUGGUAUACCUAUAUUCGUGGUAUACCUGUAUUUUGUAUUAAAUUAGACUUUAAUACAAAAAGCAUUAUCAUUGACCAAAAAGAGUCACUACAAAAUAAUAAAAAAUUGUGUUCCCCAGGAAAAUAGUUAUUCAAACCUUUGUGUGUAAUAAAUAGCUUCAAAGUAUGUAAGUCAGAAAUUGAAGAAACUGGUGAAUCCACUACCAUAUUGUGAAGUUUUAGCUCACUUAUUUAUAGAUCAAGCAAAUGAAAAUUUAGGAAAGACAAGACAACUAAUAAAACAACUAAUAAACUUGAUCUAAGGGCAAUUAUAUACAUACAUAAUUGGCCAUGUACAUAUAUAUACAGAUAUAUAUAUACAUAAGAUAUAUAUACAGAUAUAUAUACACAGAUAUAUAUAUAUAUAAAACCUUCAGUUAUUAUACAUGUUUCCCUCCAGAACUCAUGAAAUAGACCUCCCCAGUACAUUUUAUAAGGCUAGUAUGAUCUUGAUGCCAAAACCAAAGACAACUUGGGGAAGAAAAAUUAUAGGUCAACUUUAUUUAUAAUUUAGAUGCACCAGUCUCAGUCAAAAUAUUUACAAUCAAAUUCAACAAUGUUUGUAAAAUACAACACAUUAUAACCAAGUUGGGAUUGAAGAUCAAUUUAAAAUUGGAAAAAUAUGCUGAUGUAUCAAAAACCUAAGAUCACAC